UGGUGGAGUGAUUUGUCUGGUUUAUUCCGAUAACGAACGAGACUCUGGCCUACUAACUAGCGUACGAAUCUCCUCUGUUUGCUACGCUUCUUAGAGGGACAAGCAGUGCUCAGCUGCAUGAGAAAGAGCAAUAACA
rnacentral:rRNA from 1 species